UACGUAGGUGGCAAGCGUUGUCCGGAAUUAUUGGGCGUAAAGAGCGUGUAGGCGGCUUGGUAGGUCCGCUGUGAAAACUCGAGGCUCAACCUCGAGAUGUCGGCGGAAACCACUUGGCUAGAGUCCGGAAGAGGAGAGUGGAAUUCCUGGUGUAGCGGUGAAAUGCGCAGAUAUCAGGAAGAACACCUAUGGCGAAGGCAGCUCUCUGGGACGGUACUGACGCUGAGACGCGAAAGCGUGGGGAGCGAACAGG
rnacentral:rRNA from 1 species